ensembl:lncRNA novel transcript, antisense to BAZ2B
UUUGUGUUUGAAUUAGGACAUACAGGAUUUGUCUAGGCAUGCUGUAAUACUAGUUUUGUGAAACUCUGGUGUGAUAAAUAGCUACUUUUAUCUAAACCAAUGUUAUUUACUACACUAAAAAAAGACAAUUAAAAUCUUAGCCAGGAAAACUAACACAUACAUUGGAACUCUUCCUACAUUCUUUUAUGUUCUAACACUCAGUUGCUAUCUCUAAACUUUUGGUUUGCAUAUGAAAACCAGUAAAUCACAACAAACCUAUAUUCUGAAAAAUUUAUAUUUAGAAGAGCCAAUGCUUUAGGAAAAAGCAUUACUUUAUAAGGUAAUAUUUUUCUAGAAACAUACACUUACUUCUGCUUUUUUACGAGCUUCCAUAGCUUUCAUAAGCAUCAUGUGUUGUCGCCUUCGCUCUCGUUCCUAUUAGGCCAGAUAAAAUGUGGAAAAUAACUCAGCCACAAUUAACAGUUUGAUUUUCCAAUGAAAAAACAAAAACAAAAACAAAACAAAAACUCAGUAUAGCAUGUUUAGCAUUUAUAGACAAGUCACAGUAAAUACUAAAUAUAAGACAAGAAUGGCCAGUCUGUGCAUGUUUUAGUUCAGGUUUAGAAAGCAAAUACAACAAUCAAAAGCAAAAAGGUAAAGCAAUGAACAUGGAGACAGUGUAAACAGAAGCAUACAAGAUUUACUUAUGGUCAGUUGUGAUGCUCCUUCAAAAGCUGGCAGAACAAAAAGCAUAAUGGUUGGCUGGAACAGCCACAAAAGCUGCACCAUGGGCUCACAGGUGGAAUCUUAAAGGCACAGUAUGAAAAUAAGCCUGUGCAUGCAAAACAGGUCUCAAAGUCAUGCAACAGCACCACUACAACUUGCAAAUAAUGUCAGACUUGAAAUGAAGCUACAUGUCUCACAAGUGGCAACUUUUAAGUAAUCCUGAAAGCAUUAAGAAGCAAUGAAGGCAAAUCUUAUUUUGUAUAACUUGAAUUUAAUUUUCUACUAAUAUUUUACAUGUUUAAGAAAAACAAGCUUUUAUUAAAAUUUGAACAUUCGAGCAAUAUACUUCAUUGACUGAUACAUUAAUUUAAAAAUUCUGAAAAUUGUUCAAGAUAUCAACUUAUACAAAGUCUACCAGGAUAUUAAAGUACUUACACAAAUUUA